AGACUGAAAUUAUCAUCUUGAUGCAUGUUCACUCGAGAUCGGAUCAGGAUCGAUUCACAAUAGGAUUGAUUAAAAUUAGUUGUGUUUGGGAUAGAACUUGAAAUAAAAUGAAUUUGAUGCUCAUAUUAUGGUAAGGAGCAGAUCCCACAAUAGAUAAUGACCAACCUUAGAGUCAAAUCAUUAUAUUGCUAAGAAUAUGAUUCGCAAAAUGAACAUGUACUGAUGAUCAUUAGGUAGCAACGAUUUAUCUCAAAAAUGAUUUGCAUCAAAUCACAAAAGCAAGUCUGGAAAGGCAAAGUAUUGAUACUAUGAUUCAAUAUGCCGCAAAGCUUUUAACUUAAACUUAUAAAUCAUAAGAUGGAAGCAAAUAAUGCAUGGUUUAUUCCGAUACUUAACAAAUUAGACCAUAUUUAAUCAAUAAUCAACCAAUCUUGGUCAUGAUAUCCUCAAAUUUUUCUUAGCAUACCCAAAAAUAGCAAAGUCUAUCCAAGAGAUAACAUAAUCUUAU
rnacentral:lncRNA from 1 species